GACUAUACAGCUCAAGGAGCAUUAAUUUUGAACAUUAAAGGGGGCAAUUGAUAUUGUUUAUAGUUU
rnacentral:tRNA from 1 species